rnacentral:rRNA from 1 species
GCCGCGGUAAUACAUAGGGUGCGAGCGUUGUUCGGAAUUACUGGGCGUAAAGGGCGCGCAGGCGGAAUAGUAAGUCGGAGGUGAAAGCCCGGGGCUCAACCCCGGAGGGUCUUUCGAAACUGCUAAUCUAGAGAGGGUCAGGGGCCGGCAGAAUUCCUGGUGUAGAGGUGAAAUUCGUAGAUAUCAGGAGGAAUACCGGUGGCGAAGGCGGCCGGCUGGGGCCACUCUGACGCUGAGGCGCGAAAGCGUGGGGAGCAAACAGGAUUAGAUACCCUGGUAGUCCACGCCGUAAACGAUGAGCACUGGAUGUCCGGAGGGUUCGACCCUUCUGGGUGUCUCAGCUAACGCAUUAAGUGCUCCGCCUGGGGAGUACGGUCGCAAGACUAAAACUCAAAGGGAAUUGGCGGGGGAGCACGGUU